rnacentral:rRNA from 1 species
AUUGAACGCUGGCGGCAGGCCUAACACAUGCAAGUCGAACGAGUGGCGGACGGGUGGGUAAUGUAUGGGACACUGCCUGGUGGAGGGGGUUAACAACUGGACACGAUUGCUACUACCGCACACCAUCGGAUGUGCCCAGAUGGGAUUAGCUAGUAGGUGGGGUAAAGGCUCACCUAGGCGACGAUCCCUAGCUGGUCUGAGAGGAUGACCAGCCACACUGGAACUGAGACACGGUCCAGACUCCUACGGGAGGCAGCAGUGGGGAAGAUUGGACAAUGGGCGCAAGCCUGAUGCAGCCAUGCCGCGUGUAUGAAGAAGGCCUUCGGGUUGUAAAGUACUUUCAGCGGGGAGGCGUUACCCGCAGAAGAAGCACCGGCUAACUCCGUGCCAGCAGCCGCGGUAAUUC